rnacentral:lncRNA from 1 species
GUCAUUCAGGAGGUAGAGGAAGGGGAUCAGGAGUCCAAAGGCAUCCUUGGCUACAUAGCAAAUUCAAGGUUACAUGACAAUCUGACUCAGAAAACCAGCACUCUAAAAUAUAGAUUUUUGCAGUUCGCCCUUUCUUGUUUAUUUUUGUGUUUACGUUAGAGCAUGAAAGACUCCCACUCAUCUGUUAUCUUUCAGGUUUAAAAGCAGCCAUAUCUGCUCUUGCAUUUCAACAACUAGAGAAGAUAAAAGGCAAGGGGGAAAAAUUGUUUCUGGCAUUCAAUUUCUGGAUUGAUUAACGACAAAUACUGUCCUAUUUUUAAUAAGAAACCUGCAAGAGCCCACUUUACCCAUAACUAUACAUUGAAAAUGGUACCCUGAGGACUCAGAGGAAGAAGAUGAAAUCUUUACUUACCUCCACCCCGCAAACUCCCAUCAGAAUAACCAAGCUGUUAAGUUGAUGAACAAGUUUCCAUUUGGAAUUCUGGUUUUGCAACUAUCUUAAGUGACGGACUCCCUUUCACCUGUGCCCAUGCAUGUGUGUGCAUGUUGAUUUCCUGAAGCUCCACUCUAAAGAAUGUCUUCAGGUCUUCUGAUGACUGCAACUCAGUACGGAAUGGCUGCUGACCAAUUUUCAGCAGCCACAGAGACUAAGUUGUCCCGCUUACAGGAGGCAGCUUUAACCAAGCCCAUUUUAGCCGCUGACACUGAAUGUUCUGCCAAUGUUCAUAAUCACAUAAAAGAAAUUCAAGCUUUCAAAACCCACGUGUGUGUGUGUGUGUGUGUGUGUGUGUGUGUGUGUUAAUACUUAUUCUCUGGUGUUGCCUACACUGGCUAAUUGACCAUUACUAUAGAAAAGAUUUUUCUUUGUUUGUACCAAACGACAACUCUGA